rnacentral:rRNA from 1 species
UACGGAGGGUGCAAGCAUUAAUCGGAUUUAUUGGGCGUAAAGGGCGCGUAGGCGGGGAUGUAAGUCAGACGUGAAAUCCCGGGGCUCAACCUCGGAACAGCAUUUGAAACUACAUCUCUCGAGGGUAGGCGGAGAAAACGGAAUUCCACAAGUAGCGGUGAAAUGCGUAGAUAUGUGGAAGAACACCGGUGGCGAAGGCGGUUUUCUAGCUUAUUCCUGACGCUAAAGCGCGAAAGCAAGGGGAUCAAACAGG